rnacentral:rRNA from 1 species
UAAAACGUAGGAGACAAACGUUAUCCGGAGUUACUGGGCGUAAAGGGCGUGCAGGCGGUCUGUUAAGUUCGGCGUGAAAGCUCCCGGCUAAACCGGGAUAGGUCGUCGGAUACUGGCAGGCUAGAGGACAGUAGAGGCGGGUGGAAUUCCGGGUGUAGUGGUGAAAUGCGUAGAGAUCCGGAGGAACACCAGUGGCGAAGGCGACCCGCUGGGCUGUACCUGACGCUAAAACGCGACAGCAUGGGGAGCGAACGGGAUUAGAAACCCCGGUAGUCCAUGCCGUAAACGAUGCCAGCUAGGUGUUCAAUCGGCGCAAGCCGGUGGGGUACCGAAGCUAACGCGGUAAGCUGGCCGCCUGGGGAGUACGGUCGCAAGGCUA